AUGCUUGCUCUACAGCACAUACACUAAAAAUUAGAAUGAUACAGAGGAAGAUCAGCAUGGCCUCUGCUCAAAUAUGGCAUGCAAAUUUGUGAAGCACUCUGUAUUUUU
ensembl:snRNA U6 U6 spliceosomal RNA